rnacentral:lncRNA from 1 species
GGGUGUCUUGGGAACUUUCCUCGGAGGCUUAGGCGGCGUUGAAGACUCAGAAGAGAACCCAGAAUGGUGACCAAGAAUCGAAGGCGAAAACGGCGAGGAAGGUCCAGAAUGAUCCGUCUUAAACCGCAACAUAUUCUUGCUGGGACUACUCAUCGGAGAACCAGAGUUACCUGCAGGAGAAGAAGGAGAAGGAGAAGCAAAAUCAGAACCAAAAAUCUCAGACUUCAACAACCUGGAAUAAGCCUCGUUACUCCCUUCUUUCACCGGCGAGGGUUUGUCAAUGAGGCCGAAUGUGUGCAGCCUCGAAGACGAUCUACAGGCAGUUCCACCACCAGACACAAGGAGGUUGCUCUGGUGAGGUGACCAAGCAAUGGCCUUCACAGCAGCAGUGUGUUCUGUAAGUCUCAGAGCUGGUUGUUGAGAGUGCUGAUUCCAUACCAAAAGCUACAAAACAUGACAUUAGAAGAGGCAAGUCAGUAGUAAAACCAAACAAGAAGGAUAAAAUAAAACACUUUUCUGUGUGUUUGAUUUUAAUCAUUACACAAAAUGGCAUACCUGGUUAUCAUUACCACCAGAAGCAAGUUCCCUAUCAUCACAGGACCAUUUCAAUCCACAUACCUGCAAGUUGAAGGAUAACAACUGCUAUCAAUUUCUAUAAUUCCAAUUGAUCUUUAACAUAACAAGUUCAUUCAUUGUGUGUGUGGCACAACACAUAAUUUACAUAAUCUUUUUACCUCAGACUUGUGGCCAACUAGUUUUCCAACAAAGUCACUUGAAACCCUCAUGUCAUGCUGAAGGAUGUUCCUGUCCCUGCUCCCUGAAGCCAAAAUGCGAGAAUUCCAUGCCAAGACACCCGUUCUUGUCUGAUGCCCUCCCAUUGUUCUGACCUUCUUGCAUUGAGUUCCAUCCCAAACCUGUUCCACAAGGCCAAAGUUCUCACUCUUAUUCUCAAUCAUCAAAUACAUGAAUGGAUAAUCAUAAACCAAAUCAAAUUGAGCUAGCAACAAGGUACCUGAACUUGACCAAGCGAUGUACCGACCGAAAUAAAAGAACCCUCUUUGGUCCACUGGACAGAACAAACACCAUCAUAAGGCCCCAAGUCACAAAGCUUAGUCACCUGAAGAACAAAACCACAUAAAGAUAAGUCCACUUUAAAUAAACUUCUUGAGAGGUGUUUCUCAUAAACAUUGUAUCAAACAGUUGGCAGGCAUAGACUCACUCUGCUGUUUGAAGCACUCCAGAGAUAAACACAAGUUCCAAGCCCCACAGCUAGAACAUUCUGUGAGGACCAGUCCACAAGAUUCAAGUAAAAGUCAUCUUGAAGUGAAGGAGCAUCCAGAACCUGCACACAUUCAUGUCCAGUUUCAUCAAUCAACAUUCAAAAACCCAAUUACAUUUCAUGCUCAAAAUUCAAAAAGGAAGAGGAAUAAUCAAAGCUUACCUUGUGGGGUGUCUUGGGAACUUUCCUCGGAGGCUUAGGCGGCGUUGAAGACUCAGAAGAGAACCCAGAAUGGUGACCAAGAAUCGAAGGCGAAAACGGCGAGGAAGGUCCAGAAUGAUCCGUCUUAAACCGCAACAUAUUCUUGCUGGGACUACUCAUCGGAGAACCAGAGUUACCUGCAGGAGAAGAAGGAGAAGGAGAAGCAAAAUCAGAACCAAAAAUCUCAGACUUCAACAACCUGGAAUAAGCCUC